GGAGAGGUGCCGGAGUACGGUCGAACGGGCCUUCCUGCUAAGAAGGUGACUGCCGCGAGGUGGUCCGUGGGUUCAAAUCCCACCCUCUCCG
rnacentral:tRNA from 1 species